rnacentral:lncRNA from 1 species
CUCUUGUCUCUGAUAAAGGCAAGCAACUUUUUCAUUUGGUGAGGAAAUGGAGCUAUAUGAUCAUGCAUUCCAGAAUCAGUCAAUUCAAAAAGGAAGUACUUUUCAUGUUUAUACAAAUGUAGUAGAAUCUUGUUGCUACAGCUUAUUUUUUGUUUCUGUGAAGCAGCAGUCCUUUUUCAUUGGCCUUUUUUCCUGCAGUAAAUGCUCAUAAGAACUGUACCAUUUACCUCAGGAUAUCAUUGUGUUUGUAAUUGGAGGAGCCACCUAUGAAGAGGCUCUAACAGUUUAUAACCUGAACCGCACCACUCCUGGAGUGAGGAUUGUCCUGGGAGGCACCACAGUGCACAACACGAAAAGUUUCCUAGAGGAAGUUCUGGCUUCUGGACUGCACAGCCGAAGCAAGGAGAGCUCUCAAGUCACAUCAAGGUCAGCGAGCAGAAGAUGAAACGGUGGUUGGGGGAAGGGCACAGCUUCCUCUCUUGUCCCCACUACAGGUUUUCCCUACUAAACAAAGGUGUUGGAGAGCAGCUUUGGGUUCUGUGCUGGUUGUUAGAACUCAUCUCCAGGUAGCCCACGGAUACGUGGUUGGCACAGACACAAGACUCCCAGAGUUGUCCUAACAAUAAGUCUGAGCCCAUCUCAACCCACUUUUCUCCGGUAGUCUUUAUGUAUCUGUUAGCACAAUCACUUCAGUUACUGAUGAAUUUUGUUGGGAUCUGACUUGGGGAAAGGGUUAUCAGAGCCUAGAGGGGCUUAAAAAGUAAUCAUUUGAUGUACAUACCACACUCCUUGGCUUCCUUUCUCUUCCCUUAACCCUUUCUGCUUUUCAUUAACCACAUUCCUGCACAACUCAUUUCUGAAAACCUACCAUGUUUCUUUACAGAGCCAUCCAAAAAUUUUUUGUCCCUACAUAGCAAUUUUCUGUGGCACUGAGAAACCAUGUAUGACCACAAUAAAAAUCCAUUUUGUGAAAGGA